AUUUGUGGAAAAGAUCGUCACAUUUCAGAAGUCAGCUGGAUUUCAAGCCCUCAUCCAAUAUCAGUCUCGUUCGGCUGCUGUUAUGGCGAGAAAUACUCUGCACGGACGCAAUAUUUAUGAUGGUUGCUGUCAGUUAGAUAUACAAUACUCCAACCUUAGCGAGCUGCAGGUAAAUUAUAACAAUGAGCGGUCAAGGUACUUCCUGAUUCCUUCAACUAUUUGAAAAAUAGCAUUUAGCUACAGUUUAAUUCUUGUUAUCUUUUUUGUUUUGAAAAUUCCCAAUAAUUAGACAUUGCAUAACACCUAAUCUUAAUAUUUAGCCAACUGCUGUUAGAUUUUGUUAGGCUCUCUCUGUUAUUUUUUUAUCAUAUUUGUUGCUCUUUUUCAGUUAUCUUCAUUUAUCACAUCCUUCAAACUAUCUAGCCUUCACCAUUCUUUU